rnacentral:rRNA from 1 species
UGGGGAAUUUUGGACAAUGGGGGCAACCCUGAUCCAGCCAUUCCGCGUGAGUGAAGAAGGCCUUCGGGUUGUAAAGCUCUUUCGGACGGAACGAAACGGUUAGCGUGAAUAGCGCUGACUAAUGACGGUACCGUAAGAAGAAGCACCGGCUAACUACGUGCCAGCAGCCGCGGUAAUACGUAGGGUGCGAGCGUUAAUCGGAAUUACUGGGCGUAAAGCGUGCGCAGGCGGCGGCACAAGUCAGGUGUGAAAUCCCCGGGCUUAACCUGGGAAUUGCGCUUGAAACUAGGUCGCUUGAGUGUGGCAGAGGGGGGUGGAAUUCCACGUGUAGCAGUGAAAUGCGUAGAGAUGUGGAGGAACACCGAUGGCGAAGGCAGCCCCCUGGGUCAACACUGACGCUCAUGCACGAAAGCGUGGGGAGCAAACAGGAUUAGAUACCCACGUAGUCCCUGAGCGGGCUGGCAAGGCGCAU